UGCUAAAGAUAGAGCCAAAGUGAUCAAAUCAUAUUUCCUAAUAGUGUCCUUUUGGUUGUUCUGAAUAGGCAUGUUCUAAAUUCCUAAGGUGAGAAUAGGAAUUCUUUUCCUAGAAUGUGAUAAAACUGAUUGUAUUCACUAUGGAUACAGGUUUAACCAAACAGGAUUCUAAGCUUUAGAGCUUACCUUAUCACAGAGAAAUAGAUUUGGUUAUGCAAACAUUCAUAGGAUGAAAAGCCAGUAAAGAGCAUACAUGAGCUCAAUUCUGAUAUGAAUAGCUUUACAUUAUUUAAUAGAGUUUUAUUUUAUUUCAUUUUAUAGUAAGCUCUAGAAAUUUGGAAAUGUUAAUAUAAAAGUUCAGAAAUUCACUGAAUUCUCCUUUGGCAAAGUUUUCUUAGCAUAAGAUAUAGUGAAUGGAAUAUUAGAAGAUGAAGAAGAGAAACUCCCUUUCAAGAGCACUCUCCUGAAACCUAAGAAGCAUACUUUUUGCAUCAUUGAAGAUAAACGGGCUAUUGUUCUAGCAAUUGCAUUUUGGUCACAAUACAUUGACAAUUACCCUGAAGGUUAAUCAACUUGCCAAAGAUGCUAUGCUUAUGGAGGUAAAGCCAAGGCCAUA
ensembl:lncRNA